GUAGGUGAACCUGCGGAAGGAUCAUUCAUAAUCAAGUGUUUUUAUGGCACUUUCAAAAAUCCAUAUCCACCUUGUGUGCAAUGUCAUCUCACUGGAGGUCACGGCUGUAACAAUCCGUUGGUCACCUUUGGGAUUUAUAUCUACUCAGAACUUUAGUGAUUUUGUCUGAAACAUAUUAUGAAUAACUUAAUUCAAAAUACAACUUUCAACAACGGAUCUCUUGGCUCUCGCAUCGAUGAAGAACGCAGCA
rnacentral:misc_RNA from 1 species